rnacentral:rRNA from 1 species
GUCAGCUCGUGUCGUGAGAUGUGGUUAGUCCGCAACGAGCGCAACCCCUACUUGUUAGUUGUCCAUCAUUCAGUUGGGCGACUCUAGCGAGACUGCCGGUAAUAAACCGGAGGAAGGUGGGGAUGACGUCAAAUCAUCAUGCCCCUUAUGACCUGGGCUACACACGUGCUACAAUGGUUGGUACAACGAGUUGCGAGUCGGUGACGGCGAGCUAAUCUCUUAAAGCCAAUCUCAGUUCGGAUUGUAGGCUGCAACUCGCCUACAUGAAGUCGGAAUCGCUAGUAAUCGCGGAUCAGCACGCCGCGGUGAAUACGUUCCCGGGCCUU